UACGUAGGGUGCAAGCGUUGUCCGGAAUUAUUGGGCGUAAAGAGCUCGUAGGCGGUCUGUCGCGUCGGCUGUGAAAACUCGGGGCUCAACCCCGAGCCUGCAGUCGAUACGGGCAGACUAGAGUGCGGUAGGGGAGACUGGAAUUCCUGGUGUAGCGGUGAAAUGCGCAGAUAUCAGGAGGAACACCGGUGGCGAAGGCGGGUCUCUGGGCCGUAACUGACGCUGAGGAGCGAAAGCGUGGGGAGCAAACGGG
rnacentral:rRNA from 1 species